UUGCACUUCGCUGACGCUGGUUUAUUUCCAAUUUCCGGCCAGAUUACGACGUAGCAGCACUUCUUCUGUAAUGGCAGCAUGCCAGUUUUGGUAACCGUGCCUCUCUCUUUCCAAUCAGUGGAGGUGGAACUCAUUGACAGUGACGACGAAAUUAAGCUCCGUCUGCUGAAGCUACACAGGUUGCUCAGAAGAAGAAGAACACAAACGCAGCAACAAUGUAAAGUGCACUUCAAUCAAAAUGCAGAAACCAUACAUGCUUUCAUUCUUCAUGAACUACAUUAUUUUUUCAGAUAGAGAAGAAUUCUUGGAAAACAACAACUUCAUUUCGCCGUGCAAGAGGUUAUGCCGUUGUUGAUUGUUUCUUGACCAUGUUGCU
rnacentral:lncRNA from 1 species